rnacentral:rRNA from 1 species
AUUGAACGCUGGCGGCAGGCCUAACACAUGCAAGUCGAACGGUAACAGGAAGCAGCUUGCUGCUUCGCUGACGAGUGGCGGACGGGUGAGUAAUGUCUGGGAAGCUGCCUGAUGGAGGGGGAUAACUACUGGAAACGGUAGCUAAUACCGCAUAAUGUCGCAAGACCAAAGAGGGGGACCUUCGGGCCUCUUGCCAUCGGAUGUGCCCAGAUGGGAUUAGCUUGUUGGUGGGGUAACGGCUCACCAAGGCGACGAUUCCUAGCUGGUCUGAGAGGAUGACAAGCCACACUGGAACUGAGACACGGUCAAGACUCCUACGGGAGGCAGCAGUGGGGAAUAUUGCACAAUGGGCGCAAGCCUGAUGCAGCCAUGCCGCGUGUAUGAAGAAGGCCUUCGGGUUGUAAAGUACUUUCAGCGGGGAGGAAGGGAGUAAAGUUAAUACCUUUGCUCAUUGACGUUACCCGCAGAAGAAGCACCGGCUAACUCCGUG